rnacentral:rRNA from 1 species
GGAGUCUAGCAUGUGCGCGAGUCAUUGGGACAUUACUAAACCUAAAGGCGCAAUGAAAGUGAAGGUCCGCCUUGCGCGGGCCGAGGGAGGAUGGGCGGCCGUUGCGGCUGCCGCCUCGCACUCCCGGGGCGUCUCGUUCUCAUUGCGAGAAGAGGCGCACCAAGAGCGUACACGCUGGGACCCGAAAGAUGGUGAACUAUGCCUGGUCAGGACGAAGUCAGGGGAAACCCUGAUGGAGGUCCGUAGCGAUUCUGACGUGCAAAUCGAUCGUCGGAACUGGGUAUAGGGGCGAAAGACUAAUCGAACCAUCUAGUAGCUGGUUCCCUCCGAAGUUUCCCUCAGGAUAGCUGGCGCUCGUAGCGCACGAGUUUCAUCCGGUAAAGCGAAUGAUUAGAGGCAUUGGGGUCGAAACGGCCUCAACCUAUUCUCAAACUUUAAAUGGGUGAGAUCUCCGGCUUGCUCGAACUAUUGAAGCCGCGAGACUCGAAUCAGAGUGCCAAGUGGGCCAUUUUUGGUAAGCAGAACUGGCGCUGUGGGAUGAACCAAACGCCGAGUUAAAGCGCCUAAAUCGACGCUUAUGGGAUACCAUGAAAGGCGUUGGUAACUUAAGACAUCAGGACGGUGGCCAUGGAAGUC